rnacentral:rRNA from 1 species
UACGUAGGGUGCGAGCGUUAAUCGGAAUUACUGGGCGUAAAGCGUGCGCAGGCGGUUUUGUAAGCCAGAUGUGAAAGCCCCGGGCUCAACCUGGGAAUGGCAUUUGGGACUGCAAGGCUUGAGUGCGGCAGAGGAGACUGGAAUUCCUGGUGUAGCAGUGAAAUGCGUAGAUAUCGGAAGGAACACCAGUGGCGAAAGCGGCUUCCUGGUCCAGCACCGACGUUCAGGCACGAAAGCGUGGGGAGCAAACAGG